GACGAACGCUGGCGGCGUGCCUAAUACAUGCAAGUAGGACGCACAGUUUAUACCGUAGCUUGCUACACCAUAGACUGUGAGUUGCGAACGGGUGAGUAACGCGUAGGUAACCUGCCUAUUAGAGGGGGAUAACUAUUGGAAACGAUAGCUAAUACCGCAUAACAGUAUGUAACACAUGUUAGAUGCUUGAAAGAUGCAAUUGCAUCGCUAGUAGAUGGACCUGCGUUGUAUUAGCUAGUAGGUAGGGUAAUGGCCUACCUAGGCGACGAUACAUAGCCGACCUGAGAGGGUGAUCGGCCACACUGGGACUGAGACACGGCCCAGACUCCUACGGGAGGCAGCAGUAGGGAAUCUUCGGCAAUGGGGGGAACCCUGACCGAGCAACGCCGCGUGAGUGAAGAAGGUUUUCGGAUCGUAAAGCUCUGUUGUUAAGGAAGAACGAGUGUGAGAAUGGAAAAGUUCAUACUGGGACGGACUAACCAAAAAAG
rnacentral:rRNA from 1 species